rnacentral:SRP_RNA from 1 species
CCUAGUAUGGCCGCUCACAUCUGUAAUCUCAGCUACUAAGGAGAUUGAAGUUGGUGGGUCUCAGGAGUUCUGAGUUGUAGUUUGCCAUUCUGAUUAAAUGUUAGCACAAAGUUCAGCAUUAAUAAGGUGGAUCUUCUUGGACUAGGGUACCACCAGAUUGUCUAAGGAGGAGCAAACAGGUCCAGGUUGGAAACAGAGCAGGUCAAAGUUCCCAAGCUGAUCAGUAGGAGGAUCAGAUCAGUGAGUAGUCUCUGUACUUACAGCCUGAGAGAGAUGGGGACAUCCAGUCUU